rnacentral:rRNA from 1 species
CCUACGGGAGGCAGCAGUGGGGAAUAUUGCACAAUGGGCGAAAGCCUGAUGGAGCAACGCCGCGUGCAGGAUGAAGGCCUUCGGGUUGUAAACUGCUUUUAUAAGCGAGAAAUAUGAUGGUAACUUAUGAAUAAGGAUCGGCUAACUACGUGCCAGCAGCCGCGGUCAUACGUAGGAUCCGAGCAUUAUCCGGAGUGACUGGGUGUAAAGAGUUGCGUAGGUGGCAUAAUAAGUAGCUAGUGAAAUCUGGUGGCUCAACCAUUCAGACUAUUAGCUAAACUGUUAAGCUCGAGACCGUUAGGGGUAACUGGAAUUUCUAGUGUAGGAGUGAAAUCCGUAGAUAUUAGAAGGAACACCAAUAGCGUAGGCAGGUUGCUGGGACGGUUCUGACACUAAGGCACGAAAGCGUAGGGAGCAAACGGGAUUAGAUACCCGGGUAGUC